AUGAGAAGGUUUGAGAUGGUUGCAUUUAAUGAGGAAAUGCUGUCAGCAGAUAGGAGAGGAAGCCUCACCCUGACCCCUGGGACCCACAGCCCGGGAGGCAAGAACACUCUCAAUCAGUCCUUGAAAGGUAGCUGCAUCAACUCACGAGGACCUGAGCAGGAAGUGCCAAGAGGGUUAUUCUCAUUGCAUACUUUAUGCCCUGAUGUCCUACAGAAAGUUCUGGAAAGAGAAAACAAACUGUCUCCACACAAUAAAAAUGACUGAUGUGAUAAGUGACACGGACAGCCUGCUAAACCAAAUAUAGGCCACUCAUCUGGCCCUCACGCUUGUCUCCUUCUCAGAUCCCAUGACAACCUAUGAGUUCACCUCUACCCUCAUUUCACAGAUGAGGACACUGAGGCUAAACAAGUAAAGGGAUUCCCCAAGUGGCAUCAUAAUAGGAGAGAACUGAGACCCAAACCAAGCCUGUCUAAAAAUCCAGGUUGUCCCUCCAAAGAUGUCAGCACUGCUAUGUGCCACUCAGUCCCAAUACACUUCCACUAAGGAUAUCAAAGGACCUUGUUAGUCGGGAACCAAUACCUGCCUGUACACUGGGAGCCGAUGCUGUGAAAGCCAGCCCAUUUCCAAACCUAGGGUUAAUAAUAAAGCUAGAACAACGUAAGACUCCCUCUCCCGUGCCUCCUUUAUCAAUAUGUGCCUUGGGUUUGAAUGCCAAGUCAAACCUCUCCAGAACCACAUCCUUGGUGGUGACUUAUUAAAGAGUAAAUCAAAGUUUGCUCAAAGAGAAAAGUAAACACUCCCAACUGUCCAUGUGCUGCCGGGCCCUGAGCUCACUUCCCGGUCCCUCUGUUGACUCAGGCUGUAAUCCCAGAUAAGCGCCUGCAGACUUACCGC
rnacentral:lncRNA from 1 species